GCCUGGCGCGGUGGCAUGUGCCUGUAUUCCCAGCUACUUGGGAGGCCGAGGCUGGAGGAUCGCUUGAGCCCAGGAGUUCCGGGCUGUCGUGAGCUAUGCCGGUCGGGUGUCCGCACUAAGUUCGGCAUCAAUAUGGUGACCUCCCAGGAGUGGGGGACCACCAGGUUGCCUAAGGAGGGGUGAACCGGCCCAGGUUGGAAACGAAGCUGGUCAAAACUCCUGUGCAGAUCAGUAGUGGCAUCCGCCUGUGAAUAGCCACUGCACUCCAUCCUGGGCAACAUAGUGAGACCCUAUCACU
rnacentral:SRP_RNA from 1 species